GACGAACGCUGGCGGCGUGCUUAACACAUGCAAGUCGAACGGAAAGGCCCUGCUUUUGUGGGGUGCUCGAGUGGCGAACGGGUGAGUAACACGUGAGUAACCUGCCCUUGACUUUGGGAUAACUUCAGGAAACUGGGGCUAAUACCGGAUAGGAGCUCCUGCUGCAUGGUGGGGGUUGGAAAGUUUCGGCGGUUGGGGAUGGACUCGCGGCUUAUCAGCUUGUUGGUGGGGUAGUGGCUUACCAAGGCUUUGACGGGUAGCCGGCCUGAGAGGGUGACCGGCCACAUUGGGACUGAGAUAAGGACCAGACUCCUACAGAAGACAGCAGUGGGGAAUAUUGCACAAUGGGCGGAAGCAUGAUGAAGCAACGCCGCGUGCGGGAUGACGGCCUUCGGGUUGUAAACCGCUUUCGCCUGUGACGAAGCGUGAGUGACGGUAAUGGGUAAAGAAGCACCGGCUAACUACGUG
rnacentral:rRNA from 1 species